UUCCUCGUAGCGCAAUGGUAGCGCGUUAGUUUUCGGUUUCAUGCUGAGAGCACUAAAGGCUCUGGGUUCGAGUCCCAGGCUGCUCGCAAA